AUAGAAUAAUUUGUUCUUUAAAUCGGAAAUAAUUUUAUAAUAAAAUUAAUUGAUUACGUUAACCUCAUAUUAUUGAAGUUAAAUAGUCAGUAUUAGACUUUCAUUACUGUUGCAACUAAAAUCAUCAUUAAAAAUGGGUUUCUAUUUUUGUUCCGGAAUAUUCCUUUGUUUUAUGUGUGUAAUUACCUUACCCAUAUUUUCUACUGGAAAGCCCUGCCUUGACGAAGAAAUGAGUUGCAACAAGUCAAUUCAAAUUAUUGAACCAUCAAAAUAUUUCAGAAAAGACGAUAUAUUAUGUGAGUUACAAUAUUGAACAAUAAGCUUAAGUGAUAACAUAAAAAGAAAAAAGAAAAAACAGACAGAAGAGACUGAGUGAAGAGACCUCCCAUCGGAGGUACUUCAACAUGAAUAUUAAUUUAAAUUUAAGGUAUUACUCCUAACAUAAUAUUAAUAAUAGUGAUAAUAAGUUGGAUUGAUACAUAUACAUAUACAUAUACAUUUUUUUUUUUUUUUUUUAAAUUAUAAAAGUAGGUCACGACACCACUGUCUUUUUAAUCUUUUGUGGGGAUUUCCUGGAAUAGUUGCAGAUGAUAGUUGGACAAUAAGGGGAUUGGAAUGAUGUGUUAACUUGUUAUUGAAUCGUUUGUAGUGGAGUUUGGCUAGUUUAGUGACGGUGGGUAAAUUGAAGUCGGAAUGAAGGGUAUCAUUUGAAACAUAGAAGGGAGCUUUGGAGAUGACGCGAAGGACUUUGGAUUGGAACCUUUGUAUACGGUUUGUAUUUGAUACUUUGGCUGAGCCCCAGAGUUGCAAACCGUAGGACCAGAUGGGCCUGAGUAGUAGUUUAUAUAGCAGUAAUUUAGUAGGUAGUUUGAUAUUUUUAGAAGUUAGGAAUGGCCGGAGAAGACGAAAACGAUCGUUCAGCGUUCGAGUUUUAUUUUUAAUGUGAGCUGACCAGGUAAGUCGACGGUCGAUGUUGACUCCAAGGUAGCGUACAUUUUGGGCAGUGGGGAGGGGUUGGUUGUUAAGGAGGAGGGUCGGGCACACUCCUUGCCGAAGUGUAAAAGUACAAUGGAUCGAUUUGGAUUCAUUCAUUUUAACUCCCCAUUCCUUGUACCAGGCUUGGAGAAGGUGAAGGUGGUCCUGAAUAUAGCUAGAGGCUAAAUGAGGAUCAGGGCUAGAGGCUAAGAUAGCUUUAUCGUCGGCAAAGUCACCGACAAGCGUAUGGAGGGAAGAAGGUUGAUCAGAUAUAUAUAUGUUAAAUAGGAGGGGAGCUGUGACCGCACCUUGAGGUACGCCUGCAUUGAUUAAAGUAGGAGCAGAAAAGGUGGAACCUACUCGCACUGAGAAGUGACGGUCUUCUAAAUAGGAUUUAAGGAUUAAAUAGUAGUGACUAGGGAGAAGAGUCUUAAGUUUAUAUAAAAGACCAGCAUGCCAUAAGCGGUCGAAGGCCUGAGAGACGUCCAGAAACGCACCAGUGCAAUAAAGUUUUUCUUCCAAGGCAUAGGAUAUUUUGUCUACCAAUCUGUGCACUUGAUGAACGGUGGAGUGGCUGUUGCGGAAGCCAAAUUGAGGGUUAGGUAAAAUAUUUGCAGUGUCGACAAUGGGUAUGAUACGUUUUAGUAGGAGUUUCUCGAAUAACUUUGAAAGUAUUGGGAGAAGACUGAUUGGUCUAUAAGAAGUCGGGGAGUCCGGGGGCUUUUUGGGUUUUAAUAUGAGAAUUAUAGUAGAGUAUUUCCAGAGAAUAGGGAAAUAAGAUAAUCUGAGCAUUGCAUUGUAGAUUUGUGUUAGGAAUAAGAUAGAUUUUUUAGGUAAAUUUUUGAUUACUUCUGCAGUUAUUAGAUCAAAUCCGGGGGAUUUUUUUCCUGUGAGCUUUUUAAUAUUAAAGUAAACUUCACCAGGGGAGAAGGCUCUAAGAGGAGGGGACAUCUGCAGUGGAGAGUUGAUAAAGCUUUCAACUUCUUGGAUUUUGCUGGGUGAUAAAAUGUUAUAAUGCGGUUGGAAGGUAUUUUCUAGAUGUUUCAUAAAUAUGUUUGAUUUAUCCUGGUCAGAGACCGCCCAGGUACCAUCGUCGUUACGUAGAGUAGGGGGUGGAUUUUGAAUACGUAAAAGUAUUUUAACAAUAUAAUCAAAUUUUAUUAUACGUUCAAUUGAGAAAAUCUUUUUAACAACUUUGUUUUGAUUGGUUCAUUUAGUUAAAGUAAAUCAUUAUAAUUAAUUAAGUUCUUAAUAUUUCAAUUGUAGAAUCUUUUCAAACAACAAA